rnacentral:rRNA from 1 species
AUUGAACGCUGGCGGCAUGCCUUACACAUGCAAGUCGAACGGCAGCACGGGGGGUAACCCCUGGUGGCGAGUGGCGAACGGGUGAGUAAUAUAUCGGAACGUGUCCUGUAGCGGGGGAUAACCUAUCGAAAGAUGGACUAAUACCGCAUACGACCUACGGGUGAAAGCGGAGGACCGCAAGGCUUCGCACUAUAGGAGCGGCCGAUAUCGGAUUAGCUAGUUGGCGGGGUAACGGCCCACCAAGGCGACGAUCCGUAGCUGGUCUGAGAGGACGAUCAGCCACACUGGAACUGAGACACGGUCCAGACUCCUACGGGAGGCAGCAGUGGGGAAUUUUGGACAAUGGGCGCAAGCCUGAUCCAGCCAUGCCGCGUGAGUGAAGAAGGCCUUCGGGUUGUAAAGCUCUUUCGGCGGGGACGAAACGGUUCGCGCUAAUACCACGGACUACUGACGGUACCCGCAGAAGAAGCACCGGCUAACUACGUG